CAACUCGCCUGCACGAAGUCGGAAUUGCUAGUAAUCGUAGGUCAGCAUACUACGGUGAAUACGUUCCCGGGCCUUGUACACACCGCCCGUCAAACCAUGAGAGUUGGCAACACCCGAAGUCGGUAGUCUAACCGCAAGGAGGACGCCGCCGAAGGUGGGGGUUGAUGAUUAGGGUUAAGUCGUAACAAGGUACC
rnacentral:rRNA from 1 species